rnacentral:lncRNA from 1 species
AGGGGAAAAUAAAUUGUUAACAUUCUAUUGGGACACCCUGUACAGUCACAGUCUUGUGAUCCCGUAGGAGGCACAUUUCAGUCUAACGCCCCGAGGGACGUACAUUUCAGUCUAGUGUUCUGCAGAAACACAUAUCAGUCUAAUGCUCUUGAAGGUGCAGAAUAAUUGGUGAUCCGUGUGACACCUACAAGGCACACAUCCCAAUAAAAGCUAACAAUUUUUCCCCUCAGUCCAUUCUAAACAUCUUAACAGUCAUUCACAGAUCAGUUAAACAUUCUCAUCACGUAAACUCUUUAUUUAACCUCAAACAGUCGUCUUACUCUAGUUUAGUCCAAGGUCAAUAAAAAAACAUAUCAUUACAUCAGUUAACAAGCUAAACAAUCAUAACCUCCUCCUCAGUCACCAAGGGCACCACCAUGACGUUUCUUCCGUUCACAAGCACACAACAUAACAGUAGAUUAUACACUCAGUCUAGACAACAAUCAAUCUACUAAUCAAAUCCACACUUUAUAUAAGCAACAUCUACGAGAUUCAGUCGUUUCCACAUCCUUAUCUUUGUACACAUACAUAACUAGACAGUCACAACAUAUACUCAACCACAGUCUACAUCAAUCCAUGCACAUAUAUGUAUUAAUUUCUCCCAGUCAAACAUAGCAAACAUUAAACUUUAAGUCAAUGCCCAAACAUACAUCAUAACAGUCAUCUCUACUCAGUUCAAAUCAAUACAUCUUAAUUAGUCAUUAUAUAUUAAUUUUGUUGUUGAGUCUAGUAGAAAAUCCCUUACUUUCAAGUUAGUUAAGCUCCUUAACCACGUUGAAGUCUACGAAGAACGAACCUAAACAUUAAGACAAUUUCUCAAUAAUUCUCUUCAACGCAUCAAUCAUUUAAAUUCAACCCAAUGUGAUUUUUUUUUUACAACUUACCCAAAUCUUCACAAAACGAGUUCCAACUAGAAUCAAUUGUUUGCUGCGAACCCAAUGAAUUCGAGUGUUACCUUCAACCUAUAAUCGAACAGUAAACUAUUUAUCCAACCAAUUAAUCCAGCAAUAUUACUUGAGUUUAUUUUGGAAACAGUUACAAAUUUCAUAACUUCAAUCUUACCAAUCAAAAUUUAAUGACUCGUGGCAAAGCAGGAACGACAGCGAACAACCCAAUCGAAUGGCGUGGGUUUGCUACCUGCGGCAGGACGAAGAAGGAACUCGACGCGCAGAAAGUUGGAUCUGGGGUCUUUAGUUCGGUUCACGGUAGCGAAUUAAAACCUGAUUGCGCGGACGUCAAAGGUGUUAUUCGCGGAAGAAGUCGAGCAGCAGCUUUGCGAAGAGACGACGUGCGACGGAGAGACUGUAUACAGACGGACGGAGAGUCGCGCGGCAGUGCAGAAAACGGAGGAGAAAGGAAUGGGCGGCGGCUGGGCUUGGCUUCGACGGAGACAGAGGCGAUUAGGACGGGGCACGGCGACGCAGAUCUGGACGACGGCGCGGAGACAGAGGUUGCGCGGCGCUGGGCAGAGGGUCAAACGGCGCUGGGCGAAGGGUCACACGGCGCUGGGCGGAAGGUCACACGGCGGCCUUGCUUCGCGAACAGAGAUGGCGGCCGACGGUUGCAGCGGCGGCUGGGUAUGGUAGAAAAGAAAGAGAAACGGAAGAAGAAUAGGGGCGGCGACCGUGGAUCGGAGAAGAAAAGAAGGAUGAAAGCGAUGGUGGUCGGUUGGAGGGUGCGGCUGGAGGUAGGGAUCGGUGAAGGAGAAAAUAGAAAAAGAAAAUGAAGGGGAAAUGGGGGUUGCGCGCGGGAGGAAGAAGAAAGGAAAAAAAAUUCUUUUUUUUUUUUCUUUUCUUUUAUUUAAAUUAAAUAAUAAAACUAAAAUAUAAAUAAAUAUAUAUAUAAUUAUAUUAUCACAUUUUCAAAUCUUCUUUCUCCCCCUUCAUCAUAUUUUCUUCAAAAAAAUAAAUCUUGUACAAAUCGAAUAAUUUUCUUAAAAUAAAUUACCUUCGAGUUUGGGGCGUUACAAUGACAGCUAUAUUGUAACUUGGCACUUGGGGACUUUAAUGGUGUCAAUAUUGUAACUUCUGGUGCCAUGACAAAUAUUGGUGACUGUCAAGAUAAGUUCGCAUAGCCACCGAAAGAUACAUCGUUGCUUUUGAAGAAUGACAAGACUCUAAAUGAUAUAUGCAGCAUUAUUUUGGUUAUAUCCAAUCUUCUUUGAAGGCUAUGUACUUGAAGAUUUUAAUCAAUAAAUAAAAUGAAGUUUAAUUUUUAAAAUAAUAACAUUACAAUGGGAUGGCGAUUGGAAUUGAUUACUUUGGUUAAAAUUUAAGAUUAGAUUAAAAAAAUCAAUUAAUAGAUAAUUCCAUCCAAUCAAAAUAACUAAAUAAAAGACGAGAUUUGAAAAUAUAAUAUCCUAAUAGACACUAAUAGACUUAUAUUAAUAGAUAAUUUCCUGCCGAUGAAAAAUUACUAAAGUUGUACUAUAUUUUAUAAAUAUUUCAAAACAUUACAUAAACACUAAUUAAAGUUGGGUUUAGUAGCAAAAGGUUACAAAUUUAUUGACACCUUUUUUAGGAAAAAAAAUACCUUGACAUGAUGUAAACUAAAUUUGUAAUCAGCAUUGAAAUCUUUACUAUACUAAAUGGGCUCGUGGAGAAAAAAUUAUAUACAUCUAUUUUAUUCUUAAAUUGUCGAAAAAAAAUUAUAUUACCUUUUGUGAUCUAACGUAGUUGUGACUUUUAUAGUGUAAGUGUCCAUUUUAAUGUUUGGAAAGAUGAUUUUUCCAAUUUUUUAGUUUACAAAAUAAAGUUCUAUAUUUCAUAAAAUAAAACCUUAUGUUGAAUAUAUGUAACUAAUGUUGAUAGGAUGUGAUUGGUUGAUCUUCAAGAUACGAUGCAUUCUGUUUAGAGUGGAGAUGGUUGCACACACAUCAAAUUGGUGCAUUGAUUCCUCCAAAUUUACAUGUGAAAUGUAAAUGUAAAAGAAAAACAAAACAAACUCUUGCAGUUACACAUUAGGAAAAAAAAACGUCACGAAAUUCCAAAGUUCAAAAGAAAACAAACAUACACAGGGAUUUAAUUGAUUCAAAGUAGUAACAAAUGGUGAAAAAAUGCAUAAUUUGUUGUGAUUUCACAUUAACAUGUUAGAAUAAAAAAUUAUCGUAUUCUAUAUAUUACAAUAUUGGAUCAAAUAUUAAUACAUUAAUUUAAUUAUUUAAUUACUACAUCAAUGAAUUUCUUUUUCUUUUUUAAAUAAUAAUUUUACCAUUAAUAUUAUAUAAUAUUUGUUUAUUAUAUGCUAAAGCAUAUUUAAAAAUUAAAUAGAAUUAAGAGAUUUCACGUGAAUUUAUGCACAUGUUUCAACUGAAAAGAUGGAAACAAUAGUCACAAAUUAUUUUUUCCUAAAACAAAACAUUCGUAACCAAAUCUAAAUAUGCACUUUCAUAACUAAGGACCAAAACUCAUAUUACGUAGAAUUGAGCAUGGUUUAAAUGAAAUUAUUAACAAAAUACUUACACUUUAAACCAGGUUUUUUGGCAACAUACAUAGUGAGAAAAUUCCAAAUUUACCCUCUUACUUGUAUCUUUUCAAUAAAAAGUGCAUCUUAGUUGUAAUUAUGUCAAAAUAAAAAUAAAAAAAUAACUCGUCAGUUAACGUGGUUAUUCAUUAAUUGAUUUGGGUGAACUUUCUGAAGAUAAAAAUAACAAAAACAAACAAACAAAAGACUAGAACAUGUUAUUUAAUUAUGUAAUUACAACUUCCCUUUCUCCUCCGUGAGAAAAAAAACCAUUUCUCUAAAUUUCAUCUAUAUAUGUGUAUUGAUCAAAUGACCCAUAUCAAUAAGGACACAAAAUUGGCAAAGAACAAAUAAAUUAAAAUGGACAAUAACUCUUGUUUCAUUACUUUCUCUCUCAUUGGAGUUCUUUUGUUCACCAUCAUUUCAAAUGUGGCAUCAUCUAACGACGUUGUUUCUACCAUCUGUUCAGAAAUCUCAAAUCCACAAUUUUGUUUAAGUGUGUUGAAAUCUGCAGGCACUACAGAUCUAAAAGGCUUGGCUGUAUACACCUUAAACCUUGCUCAUUCAAAUGCUGGCAAAUCUUUGAUCCUAGCCAACUCACUAGCAAAAGCCACCACCAAUCCUCAACUUAAGCAACGAUAUUCAUUUUGUGCUGAGAGCUAUGAUGAAGUUGUUGGUGACAUUGAAAAUGCUCAAAACGACUUGGCACUUGGGGACUUUAUUGGUGUCAUUAUUGCAACUACUGGUGCCAUGACAACUCUUGGUGAUCACUGUCAGAAUAAGCUCUUGCAGCCGCCGAAGGAUACAUCGUUGCUUUUAAAGAAUAGCAACACUCUAGAUGAUAUAUUUAGCAUUAUUAUGGUUAUAUCCGAUCAUCUUUGAGGGUUAUGUACUUGAACAUUUUGAUCAAUAAAUAAACUGAAGUUUAAUUUUUAAAAUAAUAUUACAAUGUGAUGGUGAUUGGAAUUGAUUACUUACUUUGAUUAAACUUGAGAAGAUAAAGAAAAUCAAUUAAUAGAAACGUUCACCGACACACAUUGUCAGCACGUCGGAGAAAGCCUAAACUUUUUUUUCUUUUCUUUUACGUUCUGUUUUCUUUUCUUUGUUUGCCAUCAUCAUCGUCAUCUUCUUCUUCUUCUAGCUUCUUACGUUCUGUUUCAAUUGCAUACUUCUGUUAUUCUUGUAAUUUCUUCGUGGUUUUCUUUUUAACUUUGUGUUUCAGUGUGGAUUCAUAAACACAUUUUUCAGUGCUCUGGAUUCUGGAUCUGUUAUGAUUUGAAAGGGUACAGUGAAGUGAAAAGUUGAAAUGGAAAAGAAAAAAAAGAAGAAAAGAGGACACUUCUCGCGGUGGUGGCGGCAAAGACUGACGUCGACGACAACACAACUCUCCUCCUCUCCCUAUAUCUCGGCCGAUUUUGGGUUUAUUUUCGUUUUGCAUUCUGUUAUGUGUAGAAGGGAGAAUAAAUAGUGUGGACUUUCCCCGACAUCUUCGAAAACGUUGGGAAAUUUACCUUUUCGCCGACGUAUGUAGUACACACGUCGGAGAAAGUUUAAAUAAUAAAUUCAUUAUUUAAACUUUCCCCGACGUACUCCUGUCAUACGAGUCUAAAUUAAAUUUAAUGCGUUCUCCUUCGGCGAUGUGUGUCAAGGUGACGUUGGAAAAAGUUUAAACACUAAUGCAAUUAUUUUAAAUCACAUAUGUUAUCGCUUAUAUGGCAUAAGAGUCUAUUAACGAUAGAAAUCUAUCUUGAUAGGUUUUGCUACAUUUACAAUUUUUAAAAAAUAUUCUUAUAUACUUAACUAUUAUUCCUAAAAUUGCUAACCCAUUAUACUUACCCUAAGUUAAAUGUAUAAUGUCAAAAGUAAGUUUACUACGAAGGUAAUCUAUGUGACCCUUUUAUCCUAACGUAGGAAGUUUGUUCCACUCCAUACCAUUAUUGAACUAAAAGGAUUAAGUGUGUAUUAAUAUGUUUAAACAAGUAUAAUUAUAGCAAAAUCUAUAAGUGAUAUAUUGAUAUUAGCAAUACAAUACGCGUCACAUAUGCAAACAUUUUGUGUCUAAUCGUUGUAUUUACAAUUAACUCCAUUAAAAUAUUACAAAUAGAAAUAGAACUCUUUAAUCUAUGUUCAGUUAGGAUCACAAACUACAAAAUGAAAGCAUGGAACAAAUUUAAUUUUUUUUUUCUUUAAAGGAAAUUUUGUGUGUAGCACAUUAUAUUUUUUUCUUUCCUUUAAAAAACAUUAUUGAUCUUAUGAUAUUUGACAUAUAUUAUAUUUUUUUAAGAAUGUAAAUAAUGUAAAUAAUGUGCCAAAUAAUUGAAAACAUGUUAUCCAAAACAGAGAAUGGUUAAGAAAUUGUUGACAUUUAGUCAAAUUAAUAAAUAAUUCAAAAUUGUGUUUGAUUUUUGAAUUUGAAAAGAUAGUAAAUUAGAAGUGUUUUGAAAUAGUAUUUACGAGAAGAUUUUUAAUUUUAAAUAGCAUUAUAGUAGCUAUGGAUGGUUAUAUAAUAGUCUACACAAUCUUUGUCACAAAUGAUUAAUUCGAUUUUUUAAAUCAAGUCUAAUGUUUUUUUUUUUUUUUUUUGCCUAUUUCUUACCAUAAUUUACAUUUUUUGUAAGUAUAAUGGUUGAAUGCAAAAAGAGAGCUGACUAGUAAGUGCAAAAAGAGAUCUCACAAGCUUCUGCAAAAGCUAAUCAAGCAACCCAAAUCAUAAACGAGGAGAAAAGUUGAUUGGUUAAGCUUUGUUGUAGUAAAGAAGUCAAAGUGAACAUGGAACGUUCUUCACUCUCAAAGAACAUCGCCAACAUAUAGAUUAUAUACUUUUUCUGGUAUUGACCCAAAAAACACAAUCCAAGUGUAUUUUUGGUGAGAUGCAUAGUUUAACUAAACCGUGUUAUUACAAAAUUUUUAAUUACUAGGAACUCCUAAUGAAACGAAUACAUUAUUUUUAUAAUUACGAGGUAAAAUGGAAACAUACAAACUACUAAAAAAAGUUGCAAUUCGAUUAUUGGGAUUCAAUCUACUCUCCAUGAAUGUUCUUGAAAUGAGAGUUUUUAAGCAGCUACAACUUGCUUAUGUAUAAAAGCAAAACCCUUCUCAACGCCUACCUUCAGUUUUGGCUUUAGAGCUUCAAGUGAUUUUUGCCCCUACUCAGAUAAACCCUGAAGAUCAGAUGUUACAAAGGCUUCAAUUCCACAUGCAAAAAUCAUGUUCAUGAACCAAAAGCACCUUAAGCUUCUCUUCGAUAUCUUUGAGCUCACUGGAUAAAGAACUGAUUUCUAAAGCAAUCAUCUCUACCAUAUCCUCAUCGUUCCCACUGUCUUUUAAUAAGGUUGGCAUGAUAAUCACAACAAAGAAGAAGAAACUAAGAUCAAUUUAACAAAUUUUAUGUUGGGAAACUUUUUUAAGAACAACUACUUAUAAACCAACCUUAGCUUUGGCCUCACAUUCCUUGAAUUUUCUAAAAGUAGAUACCACCUGUCCGGGCAACCCACACCAACCAACCAAGAGUAAGUUAGUGUGAAAGACACUUAUUUAAUGAAGAAUAUGUAAAAGAGGUCAUUCCAACUGUUACACAUAAUAGUAUUGGAGGCAGAUAACCUUGCCAUACCUCAUCAAGUUCUGAUAUUGAUUGAGCUAGUUUUUGAUACUCUGUGGGGUUUGAGACAAUAUCUGGAUUGACCAGCUUAACCUAAAUAAUAAUAUCGAUAGUGAUUAUUGUGUAGGAAAAUAUUAAAGCUAUAACCAAAUCAAAAGCAUAAUUGGAAAUACAUCAAAGAUGUAAAUGCAAAUUUCAAAAGUGGAUCUACAGAAUGUAAGGGGAAGAAACUCAAAUAAAAUUACUUUAUUAGUUAUACGACUACUAUAGAGAUUCCAGAUACACCACAGUUCCACGUCCUCUUUCAGGAGGAAAGCAAUGGUUAAAAAUUAAUUGUGAAAACUAAAGAAGGUCCUGUUCAAAUCCUAACAGCAAUAGGAAAGCAAGGAGUUAUAAGGUGAUCACUAUAGCCAAAUCCAAAAUGCAUUCAAUAUUUGUCUUCCAAUUUCAUUAUCAAGUGCAUAGGCAAGGUCCCUAGUGAGGAAGUUAUUCGUUCUUUUCUUCAUUUUCUAUAGCUCUAGAAGUAGCUAAAUGGAAUCGUCAAGCACCUAAUCUAUUAAUUUUAAAACUCAAAAGUUCACCGCGGGAUUCUAGUCACUGCUGAAACAACAUAGAGUUCACUAGUUCCACAGUUAAAUUAAUUGCAAAUUGCAUUUCCUGGCAUUUUCAAGAAAAAAAAAAUGCACAAAUCAUAAUAUGAUGAAGUAGAAAAAUUUUGUGAGCUCGACUUUUCCAGGACAUAUCUUAGCUACUUCUCCUAUUCCAGCUCGAUAACCAUUGUACUUUAACAAUUGAAACAUUAAUCCAAUAGUUAACAAUGUUCUGCACUUUAUGCCCUUACAUUUCCAACAACUUGAUGCAUACAUCAGUAGUUAACACAGGCACGAGCUCUUAAAUUCAAUGCAAAAUAACAGUCCCAUUCCAAGCAUAGACACCAAAUACAAACAAUUGAUGGACUUGAAUCAGUGAAGAAAUAAGAAUGUCAUUUAACAGCAAAGCACAAAUUACCGAUAAUUUUUUCCACGUCUUCUCAGCAGAUUCCAAUUUCACGAUCAAAUAAGGUUCCUAAAAUAAAGCAAUCACCAUCAUCAUUUUCCACAAAUAUGAUUCGAACUAGUUUUACCACAAAUUAAUUUCUAGUAACUUGAAGAAAAACUCAGUGAACUCAAAGCAUAACGAAACUCAAGUUCUGUUAAAGCCAAUCCGAACAAUAAGAUAUAGACAUAUUGUGUUCUCGAAAGAAAAACAUUCAAUAAAUCUAACAGCCAUGCAAAUUAGAGUUGAAGCUCUAAAGGGAGGUGCAAAGCAUUUAAGUUCCAGAGAGCAUCUUCUGAAGGCGAUGAGCCCAUAAGAUGAAAAAAAGGCCUCAAGUGAGGAAGAAAGACGCCAUCCAAACAUGAAAAAAGGAAGAAAGGCAAGAUUUUGGUAGCUCCAGACCUGAGGGAAGCCAACAAGGUGGCGAGGGAGGCAAGGCCCCAAAGUUUAGCAUUGCCAGCAAAGUGAAGGUAGAGAAGGACCUUUCCUUUCGACGUGGCCCUCCGAGAGUUUAUGGACGCCCCAAUUGGGGCGUUUGGAUGGAGUAAGUUCUUCAAGGGACUUCCAAGAUUCGAUGGAGGUUGUCAAGAAAUUCUACGCAUCAGAUUACAACCACUACAAGGAAUUUCAGAUCAACCAACACAAUUUAACACUAUUGGGAGAAUCCACGAAUUCUUGGUCAAGUAGAAGAACCUCCAUGUGGAAGAAACAAAUUGUGAACGUGUCGAAGACCUUGAAGUGUGGAAAUGGAAGAUCAAAGAGUUCCAGCUUCGCCAGUCGACAGGGACGUCAACUGUUUAAGUAGGGGAGAAUGUCAAGAGCAUGCUUGUCCAAGGCAUUGUUUGCCCAUGGCCGCAUGGCCGAACAUCCUCAAACCGCCUUAUAUUUAUGUCUUAUACUUAGUUUAGCCAUUUUGUUUCCUUUUGUUGUCGCCGACCUAGGGUGUGACGUUUCAAAAUUUUCAUAUGCAAGUCUGUCAUAGCUAAAAAUGUUUAAAAUGUACUAUAGGGAAGACAUAGUAGUUGAAUCCCUGACCAAGCCUUGUUGCACUCUUUGCAUUCUAAUCUUUCUUUGCAAUUAACAGUCUUCAAUGCUUUCUUUAACGAUGUUUUCAAUUCUUUUCUUCUCUUCUUGUCUUAUAAAAAUAAAUUUCUCUCAAAACAUGAAAGAGGCUAUACCGUACUGCGUGCUUUUUGCGACUUCUGGAUUUCAUACAGCUUACUUGUUCACCGAGCUAGAACAAACGUCGCAUAAUCACCAUCCCCUAUUUGAAAAUUUACGAUUAUGACAGCAUGCGGUGAGGUGCACGCGGCAUGUGUGGGCCCAAGCCAAGCAUGCAACUGGCAUUCUGAUACUCUAUGCACGUGCAUGCUGCCUGCGCCCAUGCCGUGCAGCCAGCAUUGUCAUGACGUAGUUUUUGGGAUGUUUGGUGUUUUGGGAAAUUUUGAGCAAAUUCUGGAUGUUCGAGCAUGCGGAUGUUCUAUGCAAUGCAACCAGCAGCCCAUAUGUUCUAUGUUCUCUUUACGGUCGUAUGUGCACAUUUGGUUAACUCUACUACUAAUGGGAAAGUUGACGAGCCUAUGCUGAAUUCAUCAGGAAAGGUGUACUUUGUUGAGCCCAUUGAGGAGAAGGAUACCUUCUUUUUUCGAAGAGGUGUUUCAAUGCCUAGGCCGUCUUUUGACAAUGAGGUGUUAAUAUUACCUAGACUUCAUGCUAAGAACGGGUUGUGAAUUUAUAAUCAAGAAUGCAGUUCGAGUAUCAUGUCUUUCAAAUGAUUUCCAACAGCUUGAAUGUUUCUAUAAGACAAGAAUUUAUGCUUAACUGUUUUAGAAAGCAUGUUUUAUAAAAAUUGUCACUCACUAAGUCUUUCGACUUAUCCUUUCAAAUCAUUUCUCACUUUUCAGGUAUGGAUUAUGCAUUCCCUAAUGUUAAGCGUAUUGCUGCUGAGCCAACCAGUUACUAGAAAUUGUUAAGUCAUUUUGAAAGUUAGUUUUGACUUUGUAAGAAAAGUUCAGGAUGAGCAUGUCUAUGUUUAUUGUUAAAGUUCCAAUGUUAUAAGUUAGUUUAGUAAAAAGGUCACUGUCAUGUUUAAAGCUUCUGCUGAUGUAUCACAAUAGUUGUAACUAGUGGUUUAAGUUAUUAGUAAAAGCAUGUAGCUUGUAUCGCUGUUUGUUUUGAGCAUGCAUUCAUGUUGUAACUGGUAGUUAAGUUAGAAAGGUUAGUCGGUUGGUAAGUUUUGCCAAGGUAUGGCAAUCCUUGCCAACCCUCGCACCUUCUUUCAGAGCUAGAUGUUGUUCAGAAAAUAAGGAGCUUUGGGAGGGGGUGGUGACAACAACACCAUCCCACUAGAGUACGCAAUGAUGCAUUAUUGUUUAAUUAAGUCAUAUAUACUUCCACAAUUUGGAUAGGAAUUUAACUCAUUAGAAGGUGUCCUAUAGAAUUUCUCAGUGAAAAGUUCAGAGAAGCUACAAACAAAUGUCACUACCGAACAACAAUCAUAUACAUGGGUUAGGGCUUUGAGCAGUGUGAACACAACUUAAUAAUAAAUAUGAAGUCGUCCUCUUUUCAUCAUUAGUCAGAAGAAUUCUUAAACUUUCUAAAAAUAAUUGUCAAAUAAUUGAUUAUAUAGUAUGCCAUUUAUUUGGAAUACAAUUUUUUCAUUACCAGGAAAGGAGACUUCUCACUAAGUAAAUGUAAAGAGACUAAUGCUAUAAUUUGAAUUGGAAAAUAUAAUUUCAUAAUUAAGCAUCGAAUAGGGACUAGUUAAGAAGUACACACUUUAGUUUGCCAGAGUCCAUGUUCUACACAUGUUAGCCACUCUGUCAUUGGUUUAGCAGUAAAACAAAGGAUGUGUUUAGGAUGUGAGCCACACAAAAGGGAAAGAAAACAGAAGGCGCAGUGAGCCACACAAAAGGGAUCGAAACGAAUGUUCAGAAAUAUCGGAAGGAUCGAAGAAAUAUGGAAGGAAAGACGAGGAAAAAACAACAGACCGGAGCAAGUUCAAGAAGGUAGAGAUCCCGAUCUUCAAUGGAAUAGACCCCGAUUCAUGGUUAUUUCGCGCCGAUCGUUAUUUCAAGAUACACAAGUUGACUGACUCAGAGAAGUUAAUGGUAGCGGUAAUCAGUUAUUAGGACCAGCUUUGGAUUGGUAUAGAUCAAUUGAUGAAUUGGAACAAUUCAAGAGUUGGGAAGAUUUGAAGCAAAGGUUGUUGUCCGAUUUCAGACGAUUCGGGAUGGAACACUCGUAGGCAGAUUCUUAAGGAUUAAGCAGGAAACGACAGUAGGGGAAUAUAGAAACAGUUUCGAUAAAUAUUUAGCUCCGGUAGCCUUCCUCCAGACCAUAGUAUUAGAAGAAACCUUUAUGAAUGGGCUAAGCCCAUGGCAUAAAUCCGAAGUUGAAACGCUGGAGCCCAUAGGUUUGGCCAAGAUGAUGUAACUAGCCCUGAAAUUGAAAAUAGAGAGAUGGUUCGUCGAGAAUGUGGGCUUAGUAGUGUUUCGGGAAUGAAUCAACAAUUCAAGCAUAAUAACGUAAAGCAAACCUCGACAGUAACACCCAAUCAGAAACCCACGGAAGGGAGCUGGCCAAUGAGAACGAUUACGUUAAAAAGAGUGACGGCAGAUGAAAAGAGGAGGGAAGGUCCGACCAAGCGUCUUUCCAACGCUGAAUUUCAAGCACGGAGGGAAAACGGUCUGUGUUUUCAGUGUGAGGAGAAGUAUCACGCUGGACAUAGGCGUAAGGUGAAGGAACAGAAGGAAUUACGGAUGUUAGUAGUAAAGGAAAUGGGAGAAGAACUGGAAAUCAUUGAGGAUGAACACUUUGAUGUGGAAACGGAGGCCCAGACCAUUGAAAUUGAAAAAGUGGAGAAUAUGAAUAUAGAGCUGUCCAUUAACUCAAUUGUGGGGUUAUCCAACCCUGGAACCAUGAAACUGAAAGGGAAGAUAAAAGAGACCAAAGUGGUAAUAAUCAUCGACAGUGGAGCCACCCACAGUUUUAUUGCAAAAAAUUUUGUAACCACCCUUAGCCUACCAAUGACAGAAACGUCCAACUAUGGAGUGAUUUUGGGAUCAGGGGUUGCGGUCAAAGGAAAAGGAAUCCGCAGUAAUGUUGAAGUGACGGUAGGAGAGUGGAAAAUUACAAACAACUUUUUACCCUUGGAAUUAGGGGUGGUUGCACUCAUUGGGCAUGACUGAAUUUGAUAUGAAAAAUUUGGUGAUGACAUUCCGACAUGGAGGAAGGAAGAUAGAGAUAAAGGGGGACCCUAGUGUCACCAAAACCCAAGUGAGCCUAAAGUCUAUAAUUAAGACAUGGGGAGCUGAUAAUCACGGUUAUUUGGUAGAAUGUCGGGCCAUGGAGGGAAGGCUAGCUGAGGAAGGCUUAGAGGAUGAAGAAGUGCCAGCCACUGUUGACAACAUGAUCUCUCCUCUGUUGAGCAAAUUUAAUGAUGUUUUUGAUUGGUUGGAAGAGCUGCCUUCGAAGAGGAACAUUGAGCACCAUAUACCCCUUCAGAAGGGGGUGGAUCCAGUUAAUGUCAGACCUUAUCGUUACGCACAUCGGCAAAAGGAGGAAAUUGAAAGACUAGUUGAUGAAAUGUUGAAGACAGGCAUCAUAUGACCGGGUACCAGUCUGUAUUCCAGCCCAGUCCUUCUCGUGAAAAAGAAAGAUGAUAGCUGGCAAUUUUGUGUAGAUUAUCGGGAGUUGAACAAUGUCACUAUCCCAGAUAAGUUCCCAAUUCCGGUCAUAGAUGAGUUAUUCAAUGAGCUGAAUGGGGCCAACAUGUUUUCGAAGAUUUAUUUAAAGGCGGGUUAUCACCAAAUCAGGAUGCAUCUGAGAGGUGUAGAGAAGACGGCCUUUCGAACACAAUGAGGGACACUAUGAGAUUCUUGGUCAUGCCCGUUUGAGCUAACCAAUGCCCCCUCUACGUUCCAAGCAUUAAUGAACCACAUCUUUAAGCCUUAUAUGAGAAAGAUUCGUAUUAGUGUUUUUCGAUGACAUUUUGGUGUACAACAGGGGAGUAGAAGAACAUGGACAGCAUCUGGAAGUAGUCUUGGAGAUCCUUCGAGAGAAUGAAUUGUAUGUGAAUUUAGCCAAAUGUUGCUUUGCCAAAAGUAGAAUAGGUUAUUUGGGGCAUUUCAUAUCCGAAAAGGGAGCUAAAGUUGAUCCAGAAAAAAUAAGGGCAAUUAGGGGAAUGGUCGAUUCCCACUAGUGUGCGAGAAGUUCGAGGUUUCUUAGGACUCAAUUGAUACUAUAGGAAGUUUGGGCAGAAUUAUGGCAGUAUCGAAAGCCCUUUGACACAGCUUUUGAAGACAGGAACUCAUUGUUGGACUGAAGAAGCAAGUGCUGCCUUUGAGAAGUUGAAGAUGGCAAUGAUGAUUCUACCGACGUUAGCUAUGCUGGACUUUAAUCUACCACUCGAGAUAGAAACAUAUGUAUCUUGUUUUGGUGUGGGGCCGUUUUAGUACAAGCCAAGAGACAAAUAUCCUUCUUUAGUAAAACCUUAUGCAUGUGGGAUAGAGCGCGACUGGUUUAUGAAAGAGAAUUGAUAAUAGUAGUGUUUGCGGUGCAAAGGUGGAGACCAUAUUUGUUAGGGAAGAAAUUUACAGUGAAAACUGAUCAGAAGUCGCUCAAAUUUCGGCUAGAACAAAGGGUGAUUCAACCCUAAUACCAAAAAUGGAUAGCCAAUCUUUUGGGAUAUUCAUUUGAGGUAGUCUGCAAUCCUGGAUUGGAGAAUAAGGCAGCCGAUGCUCUAUCUAGAACACCCCGUAUAGUGCACUUAAAUCAAAUAUCAGCCCCAACACUACUCGAUUUAGUGGUGAGUCAAGAAGAGGAAAAGAGGGAUCAAUACCUACAGGAAAUCCAGAAGAAAAUAGAAAGAACAAAAAGUGAAAGUUCCAAACUUUUCAGUACAGCAAGGGGUAUUGAAAUACAAAGGAAGGUUGGUGCUGUCAAAAACAUCCGUUCUACUACCCACUAUCAUGCAUACCUAUCAUGAUUUUGUCUUUGGAGGACAUUCAGGGUUCCUAAGAACGUACAAGAGGAUGACCGGAGAGAUUUACUAGGAAGGAAUGAAGAAAAACAUAAAGAAAUACUAUGAAGAAUGUCUUGUAUGCCAAAGGAAUAAAACACUUGCAUUAUUACCUGCUGGAUUGCUGCUGCGCACUUGAGAUUCCUAACACAGUGUGGUCGGAUAUUUCCAUGGAUUUUAUAGAUGGACUUCCAAAAUCAGCUGGAAAAGAAGUGAUUUUUGUGGUUGUAGAUUGUCUGAGUAAGUAUGCACAUUUUACAGCUAUAAAUCAUUCUUACAUGGCCAGCUUCGUAGCAGAAGUUUUUGUUAAAGAAGUGGUGAGAUUGCACGGUAGCAUGUAUCCGCAGUAAGUUGUAUCGGAUCAAGACAAAAUCUUUAUUAGUCAUUUCUGGAAGGAAAUGUUCAAGUUAGUGGGAACUAAAAUAAAUAGAAGGAAAUGUUCAGGUUAGUGGGAACUAUGCCCAUAUACACCAAGUUCGAAUAUAGAACUUGCUUCUUACUGAAAAAAUAAUGAUUAUGGGACUUGCUAUAAGGGUAUCCAAUACUCGAAGUAAAUGAAUGAUUACAAAAUGAUUGUUUCCUCAGUUUGAAGAAGAACAACAAAAAAGAAAAGAAGGAUAAAAAUAAAAAAAAAAACAAACUUUCUUUUUGAAAUUCUAAAAGAAUCCAAAAAGACUUCAAAAGGUGCAACCAAGAAAGGAGGUCAAAGAAGGGCUCUGAUAGACCCCCCUAUCAUACGUCAAUAUAGUCAAAAAAAAAAAGAGAGAGAUCACAAGGGAACACACAUGCGAAGAAGAAAAGAUUUAAAGGAUUGUUAGAAGAAAAGAUUUAAAAAGCUUGUUGGGCGUCGGUUAGAUUUGAGGAGAUUUAGGAGGGUCGUUAGGUGUUGAUUAGAAUAAAUAAGGAUAGGGAGGAAAGAGGAGGGUAUGCUGAGUUUAGAAGAAAAUUGACUCAUGCUCUUCCUUGAGCGAUAGGAUAGCAGAGAGGGAAUUAGAUUGUUUUUCGAAUUGAGUCCUCCUCAAUUUGAGUGUUCUGAUAUUUUGAUUUUCCUUGUAACUCAUUCUUUGAUUGAAGCAAUAAAAGUUCUAAUUGGAUUUCCAAAAGAGUUCUAUCAAAUUGGUAUCAGAGACAGUUUUUUCUGACCAAGAGGAAAAUGAUGGUCCAAACACGAAUGAAGGAGAGAAUGGAGGCGCACGACCAGGAGAUGCAUUUGAUGAGAAGCGAGAUAAGCAAAAUUUCGACAAUGAAAGAAAUAUUAGCCACGAUCAGCGUACAGACAAAGAAGACUCACAAAAUGUUGAUAAUGUUCAUGGAAUCGAUUACCAGAGAGCAUAUCGUUAUGAGUGAGAAAAUGGCCGAGUCGAGUGUGCGAGAGACAGUAUCAACAAUAACGAAUAAGAAGGAAGGCUCGAUCGAAAAGGACCAUGAGCACGAAACAAAGGAUGGAAAGAUAGAAGGAGAAGACGGAGCGAACGAGCAUAAUAAGUUCAAGAAGGUUGAGAUGCCAGUUUUCAACACGGAAGAUCCCAAUUUUUGACCCUUUCGAGCAGAUAGAUAUUUUCAGAUACACAAAUUGACUGAUGCUGAGAAGGUCCUGGUUGCGACCAUUAGUUUUGAAGGCCCGACGCUGAACUAGUAUAGGGCGCAAGAAGAACACGACAAGUUUACCAGUUGGUCGAACCUCAAGGAGAGAAUACUCAUCCGUUUUCAAUCAGCAAAAGAGGGGUCCAUAUGCGGACAAUUUUUUAGGAUCGGAUAACAGACGACAGUAGAAGAAUAUCGAAACCAGUUAUAUAAGCUGAUGGAACCGUUAUCCGAUCUACAAGACAGAGUGGUGGAGGAAACAUUCAUGAACGGUUUACUGCCGUGGAUUAAAGCAGAAGUGGAUUUUUGUCGUCCGGUCGACGUGGCUCAAAUGGUGCACGCGGCUCAACUCGUAGAAAAUCGAGAGAUAAUUCACAAUGAGGCCAACCUUAAGGGGUACGCCCAAGGAAAAUAUCCGCCUCAAGGUUCUAGGCAAAAUACGAGUGCUGCGACGGUGAACGAUAGCGACAAUAAGAGAAAUACAUUAUUUUCGAUGAGAACGAUUACUCUGAGAACGACAUCCAGAGAAGUUAAGAGAGGGGCAGGCAAAGCGAUUGUUAGACGCGGAGUUUCAAGUCAGGAAGGAAAAAGGACAUUGUUUCCGUUGUAAUGAGAUAUAUUAUCAUGAUCAUCGAUGCAAAAACAGAGGGCAAAGAGAGUUGAGAAUGUACGUGGUCAGGGCGAAUGAUGAAGAAUUUGAAAUCAUAGAAGAAGUGGGAGAAAAUGAAUUGUUUGGAAAUCACAUAAGAAGAUCAUGUUGUCAUCGAACUGUCAAUUAAUUCGGUGGUGGGGCUGAACAAUCCGAGGACAAUGAAGGUGAGGGGGAAUAUCAGUGAGCGAGAAGUUUUCAUUUUCAUUGAUUGUGGAGCAACGCACAACUUCAUCUCCGAAAAGAUAGUAAAGGAGUUACAACUGGCCACGAAGGCAACGUCGCACUAUGGUGUAAUCUUGGGCUCGGGGGAGGCGAUAAAAGGUAAAGGAGUAUGUGAGGACGUGGAAAUCAAGUUGAACGGGUGGAAGGUGGUGGAAAAUUUGUUACCCUUAGAAUUGAGAGGGGUAGAUGUUGUGUUAGGAAUGCAGUAGUUGUAUUCAUUGGGCAUGACGGAAGUAGAUUGGAGGAACCUCACAAUGACUUUUGUGCAACAAGGAGAAAAGGUAGUGAUAAGAGGAGACCCAAGUUUGACCAAAUCCAGAGUGAGUCUCAAGAACAUGAUCAAAAGGUGGAAGGAUUCGUGAUCGAGUGCCGAGCAAUGGAGAGAGUCUUUGAGCCACAGGAAGAUAACGGGAUUGAAGAAGUAUUAACUACUGAUGAAGCAGUAUCGGUCGUGUUGAAGAAUUUUGAAGAUGUUUCUAAUUGGCCGAAGACACUACCCCCGCAAAGAAAUAUUGAACAUCACAUUCAUUUGAAACAGGGCACUGAUCUGGUAAAUGUUCGACCCUAUAGAUACGCUUAUCAACAGAAAGCUGAGAUGGACAAACUUGUGGAUGAGAUGUUGACAGCUGGAAUUAUCCGUCCCAGCAACAGUCCAUAUCUAGUCCAGUUCUAUUGGUAAUGAAAAAAGAUGGCAGCUGGCGUUUUUGCGUAGACUACCAAGCGCUGAACAAUGUAACCAUUCCAGACAAAUUCCCUAUUCCGGUGGUUAAGGAGCUUUUCGAUGAAUUAAAUGAAGCAAACUGGUUUUCAAAGAUUGAUUUGAAGGUGGGGUACCAUCAGAUCAAAAUGUGUGGAGAAGACAUCGAAAAAGCAGCAUUCCGAACACAUGAUGGACACUAUGAAUUUAUGGUUAUGCCAUUCGGCUUAACUAAUGCCACAUCCACUUUCCAAGCUCUGAUGAACUCAACAUUCAAACCAUUUUUGCAGAAGUUCAUAUUAGUGUUUUUCGACGACAUACUAAUCUACAGUGAGAACUUGGAACACCAUUUGAAGCACAUUGGGUUAGCAUUGGAAAUCCUGAGAAAGAAUGAGUUAUAUGCAAACAAGAAGAAGUGCAGCUUCGCACAAGAACGUAUUGAUUAUUUGGGUCAUAUCAUUUCAAGACAAGGAGUUGAAGUGGACCUUGAGAAAAUCAGAGCAAUCACGGAAUGGCCUAUACCCAGUAAUAUAAGAGAGGUACGGGGAUUCCUAGGCCUCACCUGUAACUAAAGAAAGUUCGUUCAGCACUAUGGCUCCAUUGCCGCACCAUUGAUUCAACUACUUAGGAAAGGGGGAUUCCAGUGGACUGAGGAGUCUAAGGAGGCAUUCCAACAACUACAAAAUGCGAUGAUGACCCUGCCCGUUUUGGCGUUGAAAAAAUUUCAAUGCCACAUUUGAAAUGGAAACCGAUGCAUCGGGAUAUGGGGUAGGAGUCGUACUCGUCCAAGCCAAGCGUCCCAUAGCAUACUUUAGUCAUACGUUAGCCUCAAGAGAUAGAGCCAAGCCUGUACAUAAAAGGGAAUUAAUGGCAGUGGUCUUGCAUGUGCAACGAUGGCGACCAUAUCUGUUGGGGAGAAAAUUUAUUGUGAAGACCGAUCAGAAAUCCUUGAAGUUCUUGUUAGAACAAAGAGUGAUACAGCUUCAGUAUCAGAAAUGGGUAGCGAAGCUAACGGGAUACUCAUUUGAGGUGGUCUACAAACUCAGCUUGGAGAAUAAAGCAGUAGACGCCUUGUCUUGGAUGCCUCCUACAAUUAACCUCGGUAGCAUAACAGCUCCUACAUUGGUUGACAUUCUGGUGACUAAAAAGGAAGUCAAAGCGUAUGAAAAAUUAAGCAAAAUAAUGGAAGAACUACAAGCAAUGGAAGAAGUAACAGAGGGUAAAUUCUCCAUCCGACAAGGUAUGUUAAGAUAUAAGGAUAAGUUUGUGUUGUCCAAAACAUCUACAUUGAUACCCACAAUCCUACAUACUUACCAUGAUUUGGUACUUGUGAGGAAUGUGUAAUAUGUCAGAAGAACAAGUCCCUAGUGUAACGAGCAUACUUGUCCAAGGUGUGUUUACCUAUGGCCGUAUGCUCCGAUUAGCCCCAAUUUACCUUGUCUUUAUGUCUUGCACGUAGCUUAGGUAGUUGCUUUCAAUUUCAAGUCGAUAUGCUUGGGUGUGACGUUUCGGCAUUUUCAUAUGUUAAAAAUGUACUAUAGGGGAGGCAUACCUGUUGAAUCCCUGCCCAAGCCUUGUCGUACUCUUUGCAGUCUAUGCUUUCUUAUUGCAAUUGACAGUCUUCAAUGCUUGUUUUAACAACGUUUUCAAUCAAUUUAAUCAUCUUUCAUGUUUUCUAAAACUAUUUUUCCAAGAACGUGAGGGGAGGUUGAAGUAUGUGUUAAAGUUGUCUGCGAUUUGCAGAUUUUGAUCGGCUGACUUGUUCGCCGAGCUAGAACAAGUGCCGCACAAUCGUUCACAUCGUGUUUGAAGGGUUACACAGUAAAGGAAGAGUAAGAAUUUGAGUGGAGAAACUCCAAUUGGGAUCAACACGUGGGCAACAACAUGGCUUCUCACCAACAUGAGAACUCAAAAGAGACAGCAGAUAUUCUAGAGAAGCCAAUGAACUCUUGGGAUGUGAAUCUGCACUUUCCUGCAAUAGUUUGAGUGUGAAUUAGUUCUCUGAAAACACCUGCAGAGGAUAAUCCACGGCAAAACAGAAUAACUAUAAAAAAACCACUUGCAAGUAGAAGAAAAAGGAAGUACAUUUAUACCUUCCCUGUCAAAGUGAUAUCCCUCAUCAACGGAUAUGCAUUUCUUUCCAGGAAGUAGCCAACAAUUUUACAAACCCAUGGGAGUUUAGGUUGUAAUAAGAAAACAAUUGUGUCCAACAAUAGAGUUGCAGGUGUGUUAGAGUUCACAGGUGCAGCCAAAAGUUGAUUCCUCAAUUGGUUUCUAUCAAGAACAACAUCAAGUAAGAAUAAUUCGGAGGAAAAAUAAAGGCAACUUAUCAUAUAUAUAAAUAUGAUUAGUCUGAAUUCGUUUGCGGAAGGUAAAAAAACCUUUAUGUCAAUUAUAUAUAUCUGAACAAAAUCUAAGAAAUAUAUCACUUUUCAACAAAAGAAAUAUAUCAUAUACAAUUAAAGGAUCAUAGCAUAGAAAGCCAACAAAAUCAACAAUGAUAGAUCAAACAUCUGUUUUUCCAUUCAAAACGUUAAAAAGGAUAAGUUUUUAAUAAGGAAUGUUGAAAUGGAAAAAACUAAUUACCUAUUAUGGUGUACAAUCUGGAUGCAAGCAUAUGCAAAUUUCUUAACUCUGUAAUCCACUAAGGCCUUGUUAAGUACAUAAUCCUUGCUAGCGAAAAUGCUCAACAUAUCCCCUAUAUAUGUAAGAGAGAGAAAGGUUAGAAAGUACUAACACUAAGAGAUAUGUGCUAUCAAUUAGAAACACUUUAAGAUGACAUUAUCAAUUAGAAAACCAAGUAUUAAGCAACAUAAGGGAAAAUAACAAACAAGGGCACCACAGUGGUUCAGAAACCAAUCAAUAUUUCCAUUUGUCACUUUUAUAAUAAUUUCCCAAGGGAAAAUCCUCAUAAUAAGCUUGAGUACCACCUAAUAACGUGUUCAAAUGUUACCAUAAGCAAAAAUGAGUGAUCCUAAAAUUCAUAUGACAAGGAAAGUCGUCAACUAGCAACCGCCAAAUAACAGUUAUAUGGCUAGAAUUAGUUUUCUCCAACUUCAAGAAAAUAAAACAUAUUAAAACAAAAGGAAUUAUGGUGCAAAAUAAUGAAUAUGCCUGCAAAGGUAAGAAGUUUCUGAAGGUAAAAAUGGUCAAUAAAAAACAACAUAUAAUUUGACGUAAAUCAAAGUAGAAUUAUUUCUCGCAAUGAAUUCUCUGCCAAUAAUGGCUAAGAGAAGGGGUAUUUAUUGAGAAUUAGUUGGCCAGGCAGAAAUCAUCUAGGGCAUAGUAUUGUUUUAGGUCUGCGACAUUAAAAACAUAAUGAAUGUGUAAGUCUGGUGGUAGUUCUAUUUUGUAAGCAUUAUCUCCGAUCCUCUUUAGGACACGGAAUGGUCCUAAUUGUCUGUCUUUUAGUUUGUUGUAUGUUUCGGUUGGAAAUCGAUUUUUUCUUAGGUGAAUCAUUACUAAAUCUCCCUUGGUAAAGGUAGUUUGUCUUCUUUUUCUGUCUGUUGCGUCUUUGUAGGACUGAGUUGUUUCUUUUAGGUGAUUGUGGACUUCUUCGUGUAAAUUCUGGAUUUUUUCUAUCAUCUUUUCUGCCUCUGAUAGUUAGGGAACUCAACACAUUUUACUUGACCUAACCAAGAUGGCUCUUUGUAUGUAUAUUGCAUGUGUUGUUUGUUUUUUCUAUAGCUCUUGAUUGUCUCACUUUUUUACGUUUUGCAUUUGCAAUUCUCUUUUCUUUCUUUGGUAUGCAAUGUGGUAACAAGGUCUUGCUAGAGCCGGUGGGCUAACCUUUCUAUGGUUCUAAACUUAGUUUCUAAGUUUGAUUGCUCCCUUCGGAGUGACAACAAGCCUCGUUUUCCCCUACUAUGGAAUGGGGAGGAUUCAUUUUCUUUUCAAAGCCCUCGUCAAACUCAAUGCUAAGUUUGACUGCUCCCUUCAAAGUGACAACAAGCCUUGUUUUCCCCUAAUGUGGAUCGGGGAGGAUUCCUUCUCUUUUCAAAGCCCUCAUCAAACUCGAUGUUGUGUUUAGAACGCUAAGAGUAGGUGGUCUGGUUUUGGUUAGGCCAAAAGUGAAGUUUUCCCCCAUUUUUUAUGGGCUUUUUCUAAUGUAUAUUGGAUAUGUUGUUUGAUUUUUUUUAUAGCUCUUGAUUGUCUUACUGUUUUAUGUUUUGCAUUGUCAAGUCUCUGUUUUCUUUCUUUGGUAUGCAAUGUGGUAACUAGGUCUUGCUAGAACCGGUAGGCUAACCUUUCUAUGGUUCUACAUUUAGUUCCUAAUUAAGUUUGAUUGCUCCCUUCGGAGUGACAAUAAGUUUUGUUAAUGUCGACCCUUUUCUAAAGGGAUUUAGUUCACUGUGGCUAGGCAAGAGGUUUCUAACUCAUGUUUGACAAGACAAAUUUGUUAAAACCAUCUUAGUUUUUAAAGAGUGCCUCCUAUCCCUUUUUUACUCUAUCUAGGCUAGGUUUGGACUAAGUGCAUCAUAGGUUAGUCACGACAAAGCAACAAAGGAAGACAAAGCUAGAAAAGUAUUCAUGCACUUAUUUAUUAUACAUGCAAUCAAGCAUUCACAACAUACAUACCAUUUUCUCAAUCAUGCAUUCACACCUCAAUAAGAAAUAGCUAAAAGGAGCUUAAAACAAAAAAGACAGCCGCUUAUUCUCAAAUUUCAGCACAUAUACUCAUCAAAAUUUAGAAUUUCACAUUGCAAACCCGAGCUCAGUGCUCAAGGGUUGCCAAUCAUGCUUUUUAUGCAAGAUCUAAUUAAGCUAAGAAGGUAUAAUGCUCAUUUUGUAUGGAAAGAAUUCUGAAAUUUUUUAAAAUUUGGGCAAAAUUUGAACCCCGAAGUUUAGACUAAACAUGCAAGCUAAGCAAGCUAUUACCCACACCCACUCAAAAAAUUGCUUUGUAUGUCCUAAAAGCUUUUGAAAAUCAAAGUAAAUGGAGAAAAAUAAGGGGGGAACUUUGGACUCCCCUAGAAGGAUCGACAUCCUUGACUUUGGUUUGAAGCUUGCAUGGAUAAACCUUUUCAUUCCUUUUUAAUUGAUUAUUCAUCGUUGUUCCUGAAAAUCAAAGGAAAUUCUCUCAAUUUUAUAUAUUACUAAAAUUAGGAUACAUAUAAGUCUUAACUAGUCUAAUAGCACCCUCCAUUCAUCUUCCCCUACACUGGCUAUGGUAUCAAAAUUUUCAAUUAAGUAAUACGUCUACUAACAAACUUGAAAACAAAAGACAUCACACUAAAAAACACAAACAUCACUUUAACCCAACAGAAGCUGCUCUUUUUACCCUUGCACUCACUAUCACAUUACUAUCAUGUUUGUCAACUGUCAAACUAACUCUUUUAAGUUAUUUAGUGUGACUACAAAGUUAUUAACACCAUAAUCUUAAUUAAAACCUUUUAAUAAACAAAUGCCAAGUUACUACUCAACAAUGGCAAGGAAUUCAAAAAACAUGACUGUAACGACCCAACUUUUCUAAGUAAGUCGAUGUCAUUAAUUUCAAAUAAGGACCUGAGUUUACACAAAAUCUCAAUCUCAAACAAUUUCAAAGUCUCAAGAAAAACAAAAAUUUAUAUCUGGGCCCUGUUUAAAAUAACCAGCACCUUCAAGACAAAUUUACUAAUUCGUGAAUACAGUUCAACUAUAAAAUUUUCUAAACAAUCUCAAGUACUAAACAAAACACGUGAAACAAAACAUUUAGUGGAAGCAAUUUAAAAUAACCCCUAUGGCAAUCACGCUUCCUUUCUGCCCCUCGCCGGUUUGGCGUCUUUAUUACCUUUGCCUGAAAAUUAAACAUAAGGAGGGUGAGUAUAAAAAUACUCAGUAAGAGACCCUCUACUGGUCCCGUCAGGGGAAAAUAAAUUGUUAACAUUCUAUUGGGACACCCUCUACAGUCACAGUCUUGUGAUCCCGUAGGAUGCACAUUUCAGUCUAACACCCCGAAGGACGUACAUUUUAGUCUAGUGUUCUGCAGAAACACAUAUCAGUCUAAUGCUCCUGAAGGUGCAAAAUAAUUGGUGAUCCGUGGGACACCUACAAGGCACACAUCCCAAUAAAAGCUAACAAUUUUUCCCCUCAGUCCAUUCUAAACAUCUUAACAGUCAUUCACAGAUCAGUUAAACAUUCUCAUCACGUAAACUCCUUAUUUAACCUCAAACAGUCGUCUUACUCUAAUUUAGUCCAAGGUCAAUAAAAAAACAUAUCAUUACAUCAGUUAACAAACUAAACAAUCAUAACCUCCUCCUCAG